UUUAUUGGGCGUAAAGCGAGCGCAGGCGGUUUAAUAAGUCUGAAGUUAAAGGCUGUGGCUCAACCAUAGUUCGCUUUGGAAACUGUCAAACUUGAGUGCAGAAGGGGAGAGUGGAAUUCCAUGUGUAGCGGUGAAAUGCGUAGAUAUAUGGAGGAACACCGGUGGCGAAAGCGGCUCUNUGGUCUGUAACUGACGCUGAGGCUCGAAAGCGUGGGGAGCGAACAGGAUUAGAUACCCUGGUAGUCCACGCCGUAAACGAUGAGUGCUAGGUGUUGGGUCCUNUCCGGGAUUCAGUGCCGCAGCUAACGCAUUAAGCACUCCGCCUGGGGAGUACGACCGCAAGGUUGAAACUCAAAGGAAUUGACGGGGGCCUGCACAAGCGGUGGAGCAUGUGGUUUAAUUCGAAGCAACGCGAAGAACCUUACCAGGUCUUGACAUCCCGAUGCUAUUUCUAGAGAUAGGAAGUUACUUCGGUACAUCGGUGACAGGUGGUGCAUGGUUGUCGUCAGCUCGUGUCGUGAGAUGUUGNNNUAANUCCCGCAACGAGCGCAACCCCUAUUGUUAGUUGCCAUCAUUCAGUUGGGCACUCUAGCGAGACUGCCGGUAAUAAACCGGAGGAAGGUGGGGAUGACGUCAAAUCAUCAUGCCCCUUAUGACCUGGGCUACACACGUGCUACAAUGGUUGGUACAACGAGUUGCGAGUCGGUGACGGCGAGCUAAUCUCUUAAAGCCAAUCUCAGUUCGGAUUGUAGGCUGCAACUCGCCUACAUGAAGUCGGAAUCGCUAGUAAUCGCGGAUCAGCACGCCGCGGUGAAUACGUUCCCGGGCCU
rnacentral:rRNA from 1 species